GUGCACCAGGCGAGAAACCUUCGCAAUGCAGGAAACUGCGACGAGGGAACUCCAAGUGCCUACGCUCAGCGUAGGCUGUUCUCAAGCCUAGAAAGCUUGAGGAGUAAGGGCUGGGGUAAGACGGGUGCCAUCUGUGGUAGCAGUCAAUAGAUUCGAUUUGUUACUGCAAGGCAUAAGCCGCCGCGGUAAUACCCGCAGCCCAAGUGGUGGCCGCUUUUAUUGGGCCUAAAGCGUCCGUAGCCGGCCCGGUAAAUGCCUGGGGUAAAUCGUGGAGCCCAACUUCACGAAUUCCGGGUAGACUGCCGAGCUCGGGACCGGAGAGGGAGAGGGUACUUCGAGGGGUAGGGGUGAAAA
rnacentral:rRNA from 1 species